UACGUAGGGUGCGAGCGUUGUCCGGAAUUAUUGGGCGUAAAGAGCUCGUAGGCGGUUUGUCACGUCUGCUGUGAAAUCCCGAGGCUCAACCUCGGGCCUGCAGUGGGUACGGGCAGACUGGAGUGCGGUAGGGGAGAAUGGAAUUCCUGGUGUAGCGGUGGAAUGCGCAGAUAUCAGGAGGAACACCGAUGGCGAAGGCAGUUCUCUGGGCCGUAACUGACGCUGAGGAGCGAAAGUGUGGGGAGCGAACAGG
rnacentral:rRNA from 1 species